rnacentral:rRNA from 1 species
ACAUCCCUCUAGAGGAGCCUGUUCUGUAAUCGAUAAACCCCGAUAAACCUCACCAACCCUUGCUAAUGCAGCCUAUAUACCGCCAUCUUCAGCAAACCCUUAAAAGGAACCACAGUGAGCAAAACCAUGAAACAUAAAAACGUUAGGUCAAGGUGUAGCCCAUGGGUUGGAAAGAAAUGGGCUACAUUUUCUAAUAUAGAAUAUACACGGAAAUUUUCGCGCAACGUAAAAUAAAAGGAGGAUUUAGUAGUAAAUUAAGAAUAGAGAGCUUAAUUGAAUAAGGCCAUGAAGCAC